GAUGAACGCUGGCGGUGUGCUUAACACAUGCCAGUCGAACGGUGACGGCGGAGCUUGCUCUGCUGGCUCAGUGGCGAACGGGUGAGUAACACGUGAGCAAUCUGCCCCUCACUCUGGGAUAAGCGCUGGUAACGGCGUCUACUACUGGAUACGAGCUGCGAAGCCAUCUUAAGCAGCUGGAAAGAAUUUCGGUCAGGGAUGAGCGCGCGGGCUAUCAGCUUGCUGGUGAGGUAAUGGCUCACCAAGGCGUCGACGGGUAGCCGGCCUGAGAGAGUGACCGGCGACACUGGGACUGAGAGACGGCCCAGAGUCCUACGGGGGACAGCGGUGGGGAAUAUUGCACAAUGGGCGAGAGCCUGAUGCAGAAACGCCGCGUGAGGGACGACGGCCUUCGGGUUGUAAACCUCUUUUAGCAGGGAAGAAGCGAAAGUGACGGUACCUGAAGAAAAAGCGCCGGCUAACUACGUG
rnacentral:rRNA from 1 species